CCUACGGGUGGCUACAGUGAGGAAUAUUGGUCAAUGGACGCAAGUCUGAACCAGCCAAGUAGCGUGCAGGAUGACGGCCCUCCGGGUUGUAAACCUCUUUUAUAUGGGAAUAAAAUGUUCCACGUGUGGGAUUUUGUAUGUACCAUAUGAAUAAGGAUCGGCUAACUCCGUGCCAGCAGCCGCGGUAAUACGGAGGAUCCGAGCGUUAUCCGGAUUUAUUGGGUUUAAAGGGUGCGUAGGUGGGUUGUUAAGUCAGUUGUGAAAGUUUGCGGCUCAACCGUAAAAGUGCAGUUGAAACUGGCAGUCGUGAGUACAGUAGAGGUGUGCGGAAUUCGUGGUGUAGCGGUGAAAUGCUUAGAUAUCACGAAGAACUCCGAUUGCGAAGGCAGAUCACUGGACUGCAACUGACACUGAGGCACGAAAGUGUGGGUAUCAAACAGGAUUAGAUACCCCAGUAGUC
rnacentral:rRNA from 1 species